GCCUUCUGUUUCCACUUGGCGCUUUAUUCUCAAUGAGACUCAACAACACUAGACGAAAGAUCCUGACCUGGAGUGACACGCUGACUUCGGUUCUUUGCGGGAUUGGGACCCGCUCUUGGGGUCUCAGGACUGGCUGCUUUUUGAUAUGCCAUGGACGCGGCCUGGAAGACUCGCGCACCUUUGGUGUGCCGGAUUCCGGUGGCUCUGGAGCUGCGUGGCAACAAAGGCUAUGUGUGUGGGAACAUUUCAGUUACACCACGGCUGUGCACCCGUGCGGCUUAGAUGGAACGGUGCCUUGGACAGAUUAGAAGAAUAGGCAAAGAAGUGGCAGGUGGAAUACAAUGUAGGGAUGUGUAUGCUCUUGCACUUUGGUAGAAGGAAUAAAGGUGUUGGCUGUUUUAUAAAUGGGGAGAAAAUUCAGGAAGCAGAGGUGCAAAAGGACUUGGUAGUCCUCUUGCAGGAUUCCCCAAAGGUUAACUUGCAGGUUGAGUCAUUACUAAGGAAGGCAAAUACAAUAUUGGCAUUCAUUUCAGGAGGGCUUGACUGUAAAAGCAAGGAUGAAAUGCUGAGGAUUUAUAAGGCACUGGCCAGACCACAUUUGGAGUAUUGUGAGCAGUUUUCGGACCCUUAUCUCAGAAAGGAUGUGAUGGUAUUAGACAGGCUCCAGAGGAGGUUCACGAGAAUGAUCCCGGGAAUGAAAGGGUUAACAAAUGGCUCUGAGUCUGUACUUGCUGGAGUUUAGAAGAACGAGUGGAGAUCUCAUUGAAACCUAAAAUACAGUGAAUGUAGAGAGGAUGCUACCAAUAGUGAGAGAUCUAGGUCCAAAGGGUCCAGCCUUUAGACAGAAAUGAGGAGAAAUUUCUUGAUCCAGAGAUGGAAUUCAUUGCCACAGACGGCCGUGAAGGCCAAAUCAUUGGGUAUAAUUAAAGAGAGGUUGAUAGGUUCUUGUUUAGUAAGGGCAUCAAAGGUAUGGGGAGAAGGCAGGAGAAUGGGGUUGGUUGGAAAAAUAAAUUAACCUUGAUGAAAUGGUGGCGCGGAUUCGAUAGACUGAAUGGCCUAAUUCUGUGUAUUACGGAAACCUCAGGGUAAUAGUUGAAUACGUGAACAAAUAGGUAACUAGCAUCAUAAAGGACCAGAGGGACACAGAUACUGUAUUAUGGGUGAUAAUUUUAAGAGGUGCUGUCACUGAACACUAGGUGGUGUAAGAGACCAGAGAUGAGGUAGGUGUCUUCACUGGAAUUCCACAAGGUGCAUUGUUAAUCCGCUUCUCCCUGUACGGUCAUGACCUCCUGGCCAGAUUCUGGUCGAACCCCACCAACAAGUUUGCAGAUGAGACCACUGUAGUGGGCUGGAUCUCAGAUACCAAUGAGAGGAAGUAGAGGAAAGAAAGAGAGAGCCCAGUGGCAUGGAUUCGCGCUAACAACCUCUCCCCGACUGUCGGGAGAACAAAAGAGCUGGUCCUUGACUUCUGGAAGGGAGCGGUGCACGCACUCCUAUUUACAGCAGUGGUGACGGGGUGGAGAGCUGAAAAUUUUUAGUAGUGAACAUUAUCAAUAAGUUCUGCUCCACGCCGCAGCUAAGAAGGCGCACCAUCUCUUCUAUGUGGUCUGGAAGAUAAAGAAAUUAGUCUGCCCCCUUUGUACCCUCACCAAGUUUUAUCGAUGCACCAUGUUACGUGGAUGUAUUAUGACUUGGUUCGGCAACUGUUCUGCCUGGGAUCUGACACCGGACAAUGCAGAUAGCCACGAGUGCUCGUCCCAACUGGCCUAUUUCUGAAGAUCAUCGCCACGGUGUUGGAAAGAGUUUUGAGCUGCAGGAUGAAAAUUAUUUGUAGUUCCAUGAACACCAGAGCAGCACAUACAGUAGUUGUGAUCGGUGCAGACUCUGGACCUCACCCCAAACUGCACAGUCUCUCCAGGACACCCCUGUGCUCCAGUUGAGAAGUGUAGGUGCCCCCCUGCUGGGGUCAACGCUGAACAUGAAGUCUGAGUUGGAAUGUGUCAGUUUGGCAAAAGGCUGCUCCUGAACAUCUCCUGCUUGAUGGCUUCGCCAUUCCGCAGCCACGCUGUGUUGACGUCCCUUAGGUAAAGUCCAUCCACUCUGUACAUCAGGACUGAGGGCUUUACUCCCACGUUCAGCUGUGUUAACGUUAUGGUGAUGGAACGUUUCACUGCAGUGGAGAGAAACCAUAAGACACAGGAGCAGAAUUAGAUCAUACGGCCCAUCGAGUCUGCUCUGCCUUUCCAUCAUGGCUGAUUCAUUAUCCCUCUCAACUCCAUUCUCCUGUCUUCUUCCCAGAACCUUUGAUGCCAUUACUAAUCAAGAACCUAACAACCUCCACUUUAAAUAUACCCAAUGACUUGACCUCCACAGCUGUUUGUGACAAUGAAUUUCACAAAUUCACCACCCUCUGGCUGAAGAAAUUCCUCCUCAUCUCUGUUCUAAAGGGACACACUUCCAUUCUGAAGCAGUGCCUCAGAAUUACUGAGAAUGUUCAGUACAGGAGAUGGAAUAUCAUGUUAUAGCAUAUUGGUAAGGUCACCUCCAUAGUGCUGAGGCUAUGAAGACUGCCCCAGCUUCUGUGCUCCAUGCCCGCUAACAUGACAAACUGAUAAGCCAGGCUUUGGGCUGCUCCAGGGUUCGGAUCUAAGGAUCAUUUUUGGUUUGGAAUGCUGUUGUCUGCAUGACCUCUUUUUGCUUUCUCUUGCACAUUGAUUGUUGUUUUUUUCUUUAAUAAGGUUCUUUCAGGUUCCUUGC